rfam:Canis lupus familiaris chromosome 2, whole genome shotgun sequence.
ACCUGGCUGGCUCAGUUGGUGCAGCAUGUGACUUUUAAUCUCAGGGUUGUGAGUUUGAACCCCACCUUGGGUG